rnacentral:rRNA from 1 species
AGAGUUUGAUCCUGGCUCAGAACGAACGCUGGCGGCAGGCUUAACACAUGCAAGUCGAACGCCCCGCAAGGGGAGUGGCAGACGGGUGAGUAACACGUGGGAACAUGCCCAAAGGUACGGAAUAUUCCCGGGAAACUGGGAGCAAUACCGUAUGUGCCCGAAAGGGGAAAGAUUUAUCGCCCUUGGAUUGGCCCGCGUUGGAUUAGCUAGUUGGUGGGGUAAAAGCCUACCAAGGCGACGAUCCAUAGCUGGUCCGAGAGGACGACCAGCCACACUGGGACUGAGACACGGCCCAGACUCCUACGGGAGGCAGCAGUGGGGAAUCUUGGACAAUGGGCGCAAGCCUGAUCCAGCCAUGCCGCGUGAGUGAUGAAGGCCCUAGGGUUGUAAAACUCUUUCGUGGGGGACGAUAAUGACGGUACCCCAAGAAGAGCC